UCAAUUGGAAAAUUAAAUUAAAAUUUUAUGGAAUUUAAGUGUGUUAAGGUAUCAAAACUUAGAGAUUUGAGACCUAAUAAAGAUUACUAUGUUUUGCAAUAAUUUGUCACUUGAUGAUACCAAAAAUUAGUUUUCUAGUAGUUGGUAUAAAUAUCAAUAUCUUUGUAAAUUUAGAAAGUAGAUUGAUGGUUCAAGAAAAAGAUAUUGGAAUUAAGAGCUUAAGAUUAAGCUUGGAAAAGAGGUUGCUUGAUUCCAUAUAAAAUAUUUGAUUUUUUUUAUUAUUAUUGAUAAGUACAAUUCUUCUCAAAUUUCUUGUACUUUCUAUCAACUAGAAGUUUAAAAUAUUUGCAAAGGUUUAAGUAAUAUCAAUUGCUAUUAAUAAAAUUUUAGAGGUUUUGAUCUUUAAUUAGAUUUACUUAAGAUUAAUUAGGAUUUAUUAAGAAUUAGUUAUAAUUCGGUUAUAGCUUUUUUAAGAUUUAAUUAGGAUUUAGAUAUGACUUCUUUAAAUUUAGUUGAGAUGUGAUUAGGGUCUCUUUUUGAAUUAGUUAGAGCUUGAAUUGAAUUUGAUUAAGAUUGAUUAAAUUUUAUUUAUGACUUUUUAUAGAUUUUCUCAAGAUUUCUUUAAAGUCUUUAAAACUUUAGAUUUGACUAUAAUUUAAUUACAGCUAAGAUAAGGAUUUUAAAAGUUUGAUUAGGAAUUUAUUUGGAAUUGAUAGGUUAAUUUUGGAAUUUAAUAAGAAAUGUUUAAGAUUGUUUAGGAUUUACUUGAAGGUUCUUUGAUGUUUAACCAAGGCUAGAAGCGGCUUAAAGAAUGUUAGUAGAUGCAAAUUCUAUGAAAUUAAAAUACACUUAAUUGUCUUAGAAAUAAGUAAAGGAAGUAUAAAUAACCUUAAAAAUUAUCUAAGGUUACUUAAUAAUAAGAUCAGUAGUGGUUUAAAGAGUUUUAAUAAAGCCCAUAUCCAUGACAUUGAAAUACACUUAAUUGUCUUAGAAAUAAAUAAAAGAUAUGUAAAUAACCUUAUCAAAAUAAGGUUAUCUAGGCAUAAGAUUGGUAGUAAUAUAGAUGUGAUUUAGACUUGAUUAAAAUAUUAAUUAAUAAACUUAAAGAUUUUAAGAAGGUCAUGAUUAUUAAUAUAGAUAUUUUUAAAUAC
rnacentral:lncRNA from 1 species